GCUGGUGUAGCUCAGCCGGUAGAGCAACUGAUUUGUAAUCAGUAGGUCGGGGGUUCAAAUCCGUCCACCAGCU
rnacentral:tRNA from 1 species